UCCCGCUUAUCACGGGCAGUUUCCUUAGAGUGCCCAGCAUAACCUGAUGGUAACUAAGGACGAGGGUUGCGCUCGUUGCGGGACUUAACCCAACAUCUCACGACACGAGCUGACGACAGCCAUGCAACACCUGUCACCGAUCCAGCCGAACUGAAGGGGGAAGCUAUUCCCCCGGUGAUCGGGAUGUCAAAGGGUGGUAAGGUUUUUCGCGUAGCAUCGAAUUAAACCACAUGCUCCACCGCUUGUGCGGGUCCCCGUCAAUUCCUUUGAGUUUUAAUCUUGCGACCGUACUCCCCAGGCGGGGUGCUUAACGCGUUAGCUACGUCACUGAGACGUAAGUCCCAAUAACUAGCACCCAUCGUUUACGGCGUGGACUAC
rnacentral:misc_RNA from 1 species